ensembl:lncRNA
GUUUAUGGACAACGGGGUCUUCUGAUUUUGUUAACUGUAUCCUGAGCAUCUUGUGGGGGCAGCUCAGAAUCUCAUCCGGGAUAGAUCCAGUUUGGAGGAGUCCCUACUGCACAGCAUACGGUAAACAAAAUAAAAAUAGCUUGUUCUUGUUAUCCACAUAGAGCAUUAUAUAACCAGCUUCCGACUUGCUUUUUUUUUUUGCCAUUACUACUCUUCAGCAAUUUCCCCGUCUGCAAAAGUAUUUAAAUGUUCCCAAUUUUUGCAGGGUUGUAGCUAUCAAAAACAACAAAACAAAACAGUGCUGGAACGGGUUUUAGCCGAUUCCCAACGUCCUUGGAAACUGUGCAGUGUCCCCCCCACCCCGAAACACUCUCCACCUUCAGCUUCAAUCCUUCCUCCCUCACCCCUCACUAAGGUUCUCCCUAGAAAAUGUGAAUUGUUUUACCACUUCCAGCAAAAACCCUGCACCGCCUAAAAUAAAACGAAAGCCCAGCACAGGAAGUUUGAGGCCAAUUGAGGCGGGGGAAAAAGGUGAAGGGGUUGAAGCCGGUGCAGAAAAAACCAGGAGAUCAGAUAACCAAGCUCCCAAUCUCAAAGUCUCUUUCCAAGCAUGACCCCUUCCCCCAAAGCACACACUCACACGCCCCUCUUAUUACAACACCUCACUUCUACCUCUCCCCUUUCGGCCCUGCUUGCAUACCCUCCCCCUCUCCCUCGCUUGCCCUCUGGGGACUGGCCUGCACUCACUCCGCACUGGAACAAGUAGGAGGCGGUGGUAGUGGUAGUGCUGAUGGUGUCUCCGGCCUGGCCCGGCCCUGAGUGAACAGCGGGGCUACUGGGCGCAUCCCAAUCCCUGCAGCGCCUCCUCCUCCUUCUCCUUCCCCUCCUCCUGGCUUCAUUCACCCUCUCAGCAACCACACAACCCCUUUCACUCUAGGCACGGGGGCAGGACUUGCCCCACGGCCACCAGCUCCUCUACUACUCUCUUACGCUCUCUCCCGUGCAACGUGCAGCCGGCACCAGCGAAAAGCCUCCUCCCCACCCCCCUGAACGGAGUGCUAGCCCGGCACAGGGCAGCAGCGGCAGAGCGGUGCUGGCGGCGGCGGCGGCAGCGGCAGCAGCACCAGCAGCUGAGGCUCCACAUGAUCAGGAAGCAGCCGCACAAACAAGGCAGCAGCCAGCCAGGGCCGCCACUCCAGCCGCUGCCGCUGCUCCGGGCACCCACAGACACACACUCACGCGCGCGCGCGUCCCCUCCCCGUUACCCUUCUCAGCCUCAGUCUCUCAGUCUCUCUGUCUCUCUCAGUCUCUCUCUCUUUCUCUGUUCCCCCCUUACUCUCCCUCUCCCAUACUCCCACCCCCUCUUCUCCUAGCCAGGGCAGGAGACCUUGGCCACUUGCAAAGUCCUGACCAGACCGCCCCCCCGCCCCGUCUCCUAGACGCGUGCACACACACACACACACACACACACACACACACACACACACAGAGGAGGACAGUCUUGCCAGGCUUGGCGACCCCCAGCAGCAAGGAGGAAGAAGCCGUGAAACAGGUCCUGGACGUCUCUGCCACUGUAGUAGAAAUGAUGUCUGCGGUAUACACUGCUCUCUCCUCCUCCUCCACUCCCCUCCCUCUCUCCCUCCUCCCUCCACCCCCCCUUUCCCUCUCUCUCCCUCCCUCCCUCUCUCUCUUGCUUGCUCGCUUGCUCCAGUAUGUAAAUGUGUAAUAGAAGCCAAAUAUGGAGCAGUUGGCUGCCGCUGCAACCGCUCAAGGAUCCUACGGGGGGGG